CAUCAGGAGAAAGCUUGCUUUCUUUGCUGGCGACCGGCGCACGGGUGAGUAACACGUAUCCAACCUGCCCUUUACUCGGGGAUAGCCUUGCGAAAGUAAGACUAAUACCCAAUGAUAUCUCUAGAAGACAUCUGAAAGAGAUUAAAGAUUUAUCGGUGAUGGAUGGGGAUGCGUCUGAUUAGCUUGUUGGCGGGGUAACGGCCCACCAAGGCUACGAUCAGUAGGGGUUCUGAGAGGAAGGUCCCCACAUUGGAACUGAGACACGGUCCAAACUCC
rnacentral:rRNA from 1 species